UACAGAGACUGCGAGCGUUAUUCGGAUUCACUGGGCGUAAAGGGUGCGCAGGUGGCCAAGUGUGUUAGGCGUGAAAGCCCGGGGCUUAACCCCGGAAUUGCACCUAAAACUACCUGGCUAGAGCAUUGGAGAGGGGAGCAGAAUUCAUGGUGUAGCAGUGAAAUGCGUAGAUAUCAUGAGGAAGACCAGUGGCGAAGGCGGGUCUCUGGACAGUUCCUGACACUGAGGCACGAAGGCCAGGGGAGCAAACGGG
rnacentral:rRNA from 1 species